UUUUGUAUUUAAUUUUGUUAUUACAGUAAAGGAAUAACCCGUUCAAUGAAAUAUUCUACUUUAAUUAGAUUGUAUUCACUAUUAUAAAAAUAUACAGGUUUUACUACAAUUCAAUCAAAACAGACAAAAAUAUUCAGAAUAUUUUUCACGACAAUUCUGUGAAAAUGCAACAUUUAUUAGCUACAAGCAUUUAUUAAGUUUAUUGCUUAAUCUUUUUUAGAUGAAAUGAUCACAGGCAUCGAAGAACAUGAUUUUAUGGCCAAAGUCACACCAAUGGCAAAUGCUAUAAAAGGUAAUAUUGAUAUAUUGAAGGAGUAGGGGAGGAAAAAGCCUGACUUGAUGGCUUUGACAAGGGUGGAGAAAUUGAGUGGAAAAUGUAUGGGAGGGGUGUCGAUUCCUGUAGUUCGGAAAAUAAGAAUAAAAAAUUCAAAAAACUAGUUAAAGUUAAAUAUUUUUCAAAACUAGAAAACACAUCAGAAACCUGAUAUCUGAGUUUUCCUGACAUCAAAUGUUUAAUAUGAUUGUAUAUAACUUGUAUUAUUAUACCUACAGUAUUAGUUUUAUAUUUGCAUGAGGAACAAGAACUCUUUACCCACUCUAUAGUAAUUCAACAUAAUUUAUUCCCAGGUUUGGGAAAAGUUCUAAUCAAAAACAAUUUGGUAUACAAUAAAUUUAGAUUUUAUGGAGCUACUCAUUUCCCACAUUUUACAUACAAAGUUUAUUUAGAAUGUAUACAACAAUAAUUGGAUUUUGCCCCAUAAAACUGUUUUCGAUAUGAGAUAUAUGGGUUCAGAAGAUGGAUUGAUGAUUAGACAAACAGACAUUUUAGUGAUCUACUAAUGUUGUAGCAGGAGCUGUCAUCAUGUAACAACAGCUAUAACAAAUUCCUGGGUGUACAGUAGUACACACCCAAUUGGAAUGAACUAAUGUUCUUAAAUGCCUAGUUUCACAUAAAAACAAAUCAAUAAAUAAAUUUUUUUUUUCCAGAAAAGCUAAGAAAUGAUGUAGGCCUAAACAAUGAAGAAACUGUGUUCUUCCGCGGCUACAUAAUAUCGCUGAUUUGCAUUCGUAAUGCCUGCAGGUCAGGAGUCAUUACUAACAUGACAACAAAAGAAUUCAACAACGCCCAAAAAAUUCAAAGUGAAUGGUGUGUGACCGUCAGUAACAAAACAUGAAGAAUAUCAUCAAUAUUUUAUAAAUUCGACCUUCCCCCACCACUGAUCCGCCCCUGAAAGCAAUGCUUGAAGCAGAUUUUGUAUAUUUUUUUUCAAUAUUAUUAAUAAGAUAAAGUAGGUGAUGGAUAUGAAACAUAACAAUUAUAAUAAAAUUUAGAAAAAAACUACAAUAAAUCAAUUGUAAAUAACCAAAGUACAAUUAACUUGAAAUUAGCUUUCAAAGCAGAUGCAAAUUUUCAACUAUGCUUACGAAAAUUUUUUUCUAAACUGUUCAUAAAAAAAUCAAUAUUAUAUGGUUUUACAUAUUUCAUAUAGCCCCAUAAUAUAACACGUAAUCACGAAAGCUCCGAUAAGGGCAGUAGUCGGUAUGUUUUACUAUUAAUCAUUUUAAGAAAAAAAACUAACCAAAUGUUUAUUUUAAAAGUAGUUUUUUUUUUUAAUAUUAAUCGUCUGGAAAAAAACAUAAACCAAUGAAAAAAGUAACCCAAGGUUAAUAGUUAACAGUGACUCCUAGAGCUCAUUAUCAGAGCUAAAAAAUGAUGUAACAAGUUUUUUUUUUUUUUUUUUCUAAUUAGAUUAGCAACCACAAGACAGCAAUCCAAGGGCCAUAACAUAGUUCACAACCAGCCUCAACCAGAUGGUACAACAUUCUUUGUAUCUCAAUAUGGCCAAGCGAAGUUAGACCAUGCCAAGACCUAACUAGGUUAUGGCACCAUUUAGGUGUCCGACAAGGAAAAAGUGUAAAUUGUACACACUUUCGAAAGCAACUUGCCACCAUGUCCUGGCGUCAGAACAACGUAGAAAAAAAUCGAAGACUGAUCGCAGAAUAUAUGCAUCACUCACUGGAAACCCAAAAUAAGUAUUACAAGGCAGCACAAGGUGCUAAAGAUGCUUUGAAAGCAAAGCGAAUCCUAAAAAAAAAUAAAAGGAAUUGUACGUACUGUUUGCAAUAUGUUCUACUUAUUAAUAAUAAUAAAACAGCACUUAUUACGUGCCAUCUAUCUACCGAACUAUUCCAAGGCAUGAAAAGAAAAAUUAUUGAAGACAUUAUUUGAAGAGCUACUGAAGGAAAAAAUAACAUAGACAAAGAUGAAAUGAUCACAGGCAUCGAAGAACAUGAUUUUAUGGCCAAAGUCACACCAAUGGCAAAUGCUAUAAAAGGUAAUAUUGAUAUAUUGAAGGAGUAGGGGAGGAAAAAGCCUGACUUGAUGGCUUUGACAAGGGUGGAGAAAUUGAGUGGAAAAUGUAUGAGGGGUGUCCAUUCCUGUUGUUUGGAAAAUAAGAAUAAAAAAUUCAAAAAACUAGUUAAAGUUAAAUAUUUUCCAAAACUAGAAAACACAUCAGAAAUCUGAUAUCUGAGUUUUCCUGACAUCCAAUGUUUAAUAUGAUUGUAUACAACUUAUGUUAUUAUACCUACAGUAUUAGUUUUAUAUUUGCAUGAGGAACAAGAACUCUUUACACACUCUAUUGUAAUUCAACAUAAUUUAUUCCCAGGUUUGGGAAAAGUUCUAAUCAAAAACAAUUUGGUAUACAUUAAAUUUAGAUUUUAUGGAGCUACUUAUUUCCAACGUUUUACAUACAAAGUUGAUUUAAAAUGUAUACAACAAUAAUUAGAUUUUUUCCCAUAAAACUGUUUUCGAUAUGAGAUAUAUGGGUUCAGAAGAUGAUUAGAUGAUGAUUAGACAAACAGACAUUUUAGUGAUCUACUAAUGUUGUAGCAGGAGCUGUCAUCAUGUAACAACAGCUAUAACAAAUUCCUGGGUGUACAGUAGUACACACCCAAUUGGAAUGAACUAAUGUUCUUAAAUGCCUAGUUUCACAUAAAAACAAAUCAACAAAUAAAAAUUUUUUUCCAGAAAAGCUAAGAAAUGAUGUAGGCCUAAACAAUGAAGAAACUGUGUUCAUCCGCGGCUACAUAAUAUCACUGAUUUGCAUUCGUAAUGCCUGCAGGUCAGGAGUCGCUACUAACAUGACAACAAAAGAAUUCAACAAUGCACAGCAAAUUCGAAGUGAAUGGUGUGUGACCGUCAGUAACAAAACAUGAAGAAUAUCAUCAAUAUUUUAUAAAUUCGACCUUCCCCCACCACUGAUCCGCCCCUGAAUGCAAUGCUUGAAGCUGUUUUUUGUAUAUAUUUUUUUUCAAUAUUAUUAAUAAGAUAAAGUAGGUGAUGGAUUAGAAACACAACAAUUAUAAUAAAAUUUAGACAAAACUACAAUAAAUCAAUUGUAAAUAACCAAAGUACAAUUAACUUGAAAUAGGCUUUCAAAGCAGAUGCAAAUUUUCAACUAUGCUUACAAACUUUUUUUUUUCUAAAGUGUUCAUAAAAAAUCAAUAGUACAUGGUUUUACAUAUUUCAUAUAGCUCCCAUAAUACAACACGGUCUAGUAAUCACGAAAGCUCCGAUAAGGGCAGUAGUCAGUAUUUUUUACUGUUAAUCAUUUGAAAAAAAACCUAACCAAAUGUUUAAUUUAAAAGUAGUUUUUUUUUUUUAAUAUUAAUCGUCUGAAAAAAAAAUAAACCGAUUAGUAUAGUGAAAAACAGGGCCCCUGUGACCAUUUUCCGGGGACCAAGGUUUCUCUGCUGAUUCAGCACCACUAGGGUAUAAUAAAAAAAUGAGCGGGGGUGAGCCUCCUGAAAAAGGGCGGAUCAUGUUUUUUGGUGGCCAUUUUAAAAAUGGCCGCUAAAAUCAAGAGAAUGGCUCAUAACUUUACUUCUACUACAUGAAAAAGGGUAAAUCUGGUGUCUAACUAUAUGUUAGUAGGGUCACUGAAUUCAAUUAGACAUGCUUCAAAAACCUAGGAUGGCAGACAUUUUGAAAUUCAAGAUGGCUACCAUAGUAAUCUAUAAAAAUCAAAUAUUCCAGUAUAAUUCCACUUCCUGUCGUUGAAAAAUGGUAAAUUUGAUGUCUACUCAUAUGUAAUUAGGCUCUCUUUAAGAAUAACUUCAAUAAGCUAGGAUGACAGCCUUUUGGAAAUCCAAAUGGCCACCACAUAAAUUGUCAAAAAUCAAAUAUUUUGUUAUAUAAUUGCAUUUUUCCUCGCUCAAAAAUGUUAAAUUUGGGGUCUAAUCAUAUUUUAUGAUAACCCAAGGUUAAUAGUUACCAGUGACUCUUAGAGCUCAUUAUCAGAGCUAAAUAAUGAUGUAACAAGUGUUUUUUUUUUUUUUUUCUAAUUAUUAGAUAAGCAGCCACAAGACAGCCACCCAAGGGUCUGUGUUACUAAUCCUAGAAAAGGACUUGGUAGAAAUGACUACUAUGUAUAAAAACAACCAGCCUGAACUAGAUGGUACAACAUCCUUUGUAUCUCAAAAUGGUCAAGGCGAAGUUAGACCAUGCCAAGACCUAACUAGGUUAUGGCACCAUUUAGGUGUCUGACAAGGAAAAAGUGUAAAUUGUACACACUUUCGAAAGCAACUUGUCACCAUGGUAAGACCUAUUUCAACCUGUGAUUAAUUCUUUCACUUGGAUUAAAAACAUAUAUAAAUGUGCUCUAUUUAUAUCAUGAUCGAUCCAUUCUCUUUUUAAAGCGGAUUAUUAGUGACACUUUUUAAGCGGCAGCCUGGUACCUCCUUUUACCUUUUUCCAAAAUUGGUUUCAUUAUUUAUAAAUCACAUAUUAAAGCUGCUAUUACAUAAAAAAUUAAUGACUUAAGAACUUUAAUUUCUGGGAAAAAACCACUUAACAGUUGAUUAGGUUCGCUUUUUGGUUUUUCUCACUCUUUUUAUUUUGUUUCUCUUUGCAUCUGAAAUGUACUGAAAUUUAUAUAUGAAAAAUACCCUAGUAGUGUAAUAUAUUUUUAUUUUUUUGUUCCUUAUAUAUGUGAUUAUAGAAUUAGGAUUUCUUAUUUUACAGUCCUGGCGUCAGAACAACGUAGAAAGAAAAUCGAAGACUGAUCGCAGGAUAUAUGCAUCACUCCUGGAAACCCAAAAUAAGUAUUAUAAGGCAGCAAAAGGUGCUGAAGACGCUUUGAAAGCAAAGCGAAUCCUAAACAAAAUAAAAGGAAUUGUACGUACUGUUUGCAAUAUGUUCUACUUAUUAAUAAUAAUAAUAACAAUAACAAUAACAAUAACAAUAAAUAAUAAUAAUAAUAAUAAUAAUAAUAAUAAAACAGCACUUAUUACGUGUCAUCUAUCUACCGAACUGUUCCAUUAAUAAAUUGAAUUAAAAUACAUUAUUUGAUUUUUAAGCUGUAGUUUGUUGAUAUUCAUUGUAAAACACAGGAAGACAAGAAAGUAUAAUACAUACUCCUAGCAUCAAAAUCAAUGGCGGUGCUACGGUGGGCCAGGGUUCAACAACACCCUGCUUCCCCCCCCCCCCCAGUUGGGGAGAAAACCACAAUUUGUCCGGGAGAAACUUUUUUUUAAAAGGUAUUUUUAACAUAUUAAUAGACUCUAAAAUCAAUUAUGCCUUUGAAAUCCAUACUUUGUCCUAUUUUGGGGCCUCCGCCCCUUGGACCACUUUUGAAAGGUUUUUAGCGACGUCCGACUACACCCACUUUGUUCUCUUUUAAAUUGCCACGAGGUUGACGACAUUUGUUUAUGUGUAUGGGAAAAAAGCCUUUUUUUGGUGAAGGUUUGUAUGCUUUGUUUGUCUUUUGUGUCUUUGUUAUGAAAUAAGUUUUUAAAAAGGUUUUGAACUGAACAAUUAUAUUAUUUAUAACAGAACUGUCGACGAACACGAACAGUAUUUAGCGAUUUCGAUAUAGGCCUUCUGAAGACAUUAUUUGAAGGGCUACACAAGGAAAAAAUAACAAAGACAAAGACAUACACUGGCAAUGGCAGAUUUUGAACCACAGAGAAAUUGAACUUGAUAAAUCCAAACAGAAAAGACAAAGACAAUGAAAAAAAGGAUUAUUGAUGGGAAGGUUUGCCUAGGCAUAUAA
rnacentral:lncRNA from 1 species